AUAAUGAUUGACUUUCCAUAACAUAAUGAAAAAAGAAAAAUACUCAAUUGAAUUUUAGGGAGGAAAAAAAAAGGAAAAAUAAACGUUUAUGUUUUGGCUGGUACUCCAUUGAAUUUGGAUGUGCUAGCCAGAACCUUCAGUAGCACAGUCGAGACAGCGACAGGUUCUCUACCCCUGCGGGGAUGGAUGCUCUUUGCGUGACUCAUUAAAGUUAAUUCUUUUGUGUUUACUAUAUGUUUUUUCUUAUUAGAACAUAGAUGUAAUUGUUACUUUGUGAUGCACGCACAGUUUAGUUAGUGGGUUGAUUGCUUUAUUCUUAUUGCUAUGUGAAAUUGCAUUGUGUAGGAGCAGUAUAAGAAUAGGCCUUG
rnacentral:misc_RNA from 1 species